CAAGGAGCUGGUACAGGGGAGAAUAAAGUAUAUGAAGUACAGGAAGCGAGCUAAUGGAAAGAAUGAAGGAUAUGAAGAGCCACACAAUUUACUGAAAAAAAAAAGCCUGCUUCAGAUCAGUUAAACAUCUUCAAAUAUGUUUGUGAAGACAUGUUAGCAUAGAUGGUAGCCUGCUGUUGAUAAAACACUUGAACUCCUGCUGUUUAAAUUGCUACAUUCUGUUCUGAGGAGUGAAAUAAUGUUCUGCCAUUUGCUCCCAGGUCCAUGCCUGAGAGAUGUAGUUAUAAGGAAGCAAAAAGUUCAAGACUGUAUCUACAGCCAUGCUCACCAUAUCAAAUACUUAUGUUCUCAACUAACAUUAAGCUUGGUAUCCAGGAGCUCCUCUGGCUGGCAUUGGAGGAGUCACAGCUUUGUGGUCAUGUCAGGGAAGGGGAGGGAUCUUAUUUGUAGGCAGAAUCAGGUAUGAUGUCUUGUUCACCUACCAAAUGCAGGAACCUGGGACAAAAUGAAAUAAUUUUCAAUGACUGGGAACAGACCGAAUUGCUCAGUCUUGGCUUACCUGUGAAUGUUAGGACUAAGGGCAAUAGACUCAAGGGGUCAUAUUCAGAACACACAAAUAGCAGGUUUUCAGGUGCCCCGGAACAACACUCCUCCCCUGCUUUUGGUCCGUCAAAUGCACUUCUUGUGUAGAUCAGAUAUCCUACCCCUAAGGUUAGGCACAUGACUCGAACCAAGUCCCCAAGAGGCUUUCUCUGAGAUUUAAAGAAAAAGGCUUGAAGUUUACCAUGUUUUAAAGGAAUAUUUUAUUUGCAUAUAAUCUAAAACUUAUAGAAAAUGGCAAGAACCUUAUAAAGAACUCCUGUGUACAUUUUAUUAUGAUUCACCAGUUGUUAACAUUUUCCCCAACUGUUUUGUUAUUCAUUUUUUUAUCUCUUUAUCCUGUACUCCUAAACCAUUUCAGAGUGUGUAUGGUGUUUGUUAGCCCCCAAUAUUGAUAAUGCUAACAUAAUUAUUUAUUUAGGGUAUUGUUUAACAGGUCUCUCCACUGUAAAAUUAAUGUUUUCUCUUUGGUGAUUGACAAAGAUUCUCUCCAUGACCAAACUUUCAUCAGGCUUCUCUGAACUCUGUUCUUCUCAACUAGGUCCUGACUUGUGGGCUUCUGUGUUCAUCUUUGCAUUGUCCAUUUUUAGCAAAAGUUCUGCUAUGUCAGUUUAACCAGAAUCCCUCACUCUCGCUAUCUGAUUACCUUUGCUAUCUGACCAAAUUCCUUAACCCCCACUAUCUCUCAGGCAAUAUCUGAUCACCUUGGCCUGCCUUCAGAAUUCUGUUAGGUCAUUUCAGCAAAGAAUUAUCCCACUCUCUUAAUUUUUCCCUCCACUGGCCCCUCUACCAACCUGGCUUCUUGUCUAUAAAUUCCUAUAUUUCCUUA
rnacentral:lncRNA from 1 species